rnacentral:lncRNA from 10 species
GUGACAUGGGUGCAUUUAGGCAGAGUGGAGGGUGAUCUGUCACGGAAAUGGUAGACCCUGGUCCUUUCCCUUGAACAUCUCAGGUUGAACACUGGGGCGGUGCUUCAUUAUGAGCCAUUAAGUGGAUUCUCAUGAGUGAGUUUCUGUUGGCCUUAUAGACAAUGGGGUUUUAAUCAUGUUUAUCUAGGCUAAGAGAGGACAAGAGAACCAUUUGUGUACUUUCAAAGAAUCAGGGCCCCAUGGCUGAGUGCUGCUGGGGACGUAGAGGAGCAGCUAAGAGAGCCCAGAGGAUGAUCACGGAACUGGGACAGGGAGCGCCCAAAACCAUGUGAGAGGCCAUGGGUGGGGGGUGACUGAGAAACAAGCUACUAACCACCUUGAAAUACAUGAAGGGUAAGAAGAAACUCCCACAGGACUCUCAAAUCAGAAUGUAAAGGUAAUGCAGGGAGGGGAAUGGACGCAGGAGCUGGAGGAGUAUAGAAUUGUUACAAAGCAACCGUGAAGAUGAAGACUUUGGAAAGGAAGGACACAUUGGAACUAGCCUCACACAGGUGUUAGACUAGUCGUGGGAACUUCAGACCCACUACAGUGCUGCAUGCUUCUGGAUAGCAGGUCUUCUUGCUAAUUUAAAAUAGCCCCUGGCUCUCUCACCAGAUUGGCCACAACCUCCCAGCAGACCCCCUGGCCUCCCUGUGCUGGCCCCAACUACACUCUCAUGCUCCUUUCCCACUUCUCCCACCUCAUCUUGCAGAUUCCCUCCUCCAUAGCCUCUUUCUGGAUCUCUCCCACGGAUGUCUCAUCCUUCAAGGCUCACCUAACGUGCUACCUCCUCCAGGAAGCCUUUCCUGAUCCAUGCCACCAGAUGGUACAUGCUCCCUGCGGGAACCCAUAUAGCACAUUGUGCCUCUUUAUGGCACUUUCACUUCCUCCUGCAUUCUAACAAAUUGUGUGCUUGUCUGAGCUCUCACCCCCACCUCUCCUUAGAAAACUUCAAGGGCAGAGACCUGAUCCUUUCAUUUGUGUAUUCACAGUGCCAGGGCAGGAACCAGUGUGCCAUAGACACUCAAUAAAUGUUAAAUUGCAUUUCAGCCAAUGCAUACCUUGGACAAAGUUUCUGUGUUCCUUUAGAGGUUAUGACCGAGACUCGGGCUUAAACACUUGCCUCUGUCACUAGCCAGGUGAUCUAGGGUAACUUAAUUCAUCUCUGCACCUAGGUUUUCUCAUCUGUAAAAUGAGCACAACAGGACCUACCUCCAAAGGACACUGUGGUAGUCUUCAUAAAGCCCUUAGUAGAUUGUCUGGACACACUGUGAAUGCUCAGUAGAUGUAAGACAGGGUUAGCAAUGUGCAGUAUAAGGGACAUAAUUUCCUUUCGAUUGCCAAGAGUGCAGUGAUUCAUAUGCUCCUUUUCUACCUGGCAGUCUUUAUCUUCUGUAAAGCACAUCUUUGCACAAAGCAGCUUCAUAUCAUUUCAAUGCUGUUAGAUAUCUGGGCGCCAUAUACACAGGAAUGCUAGUAGGCAGUUUGUUAACUAGGAAUCAAAUAUACCAAUCAAAGAGAUUUUCCUCAAAGUGAUUUGCCAAUUCAUCCAUCCAUCAAGCCUGUGCCAUUACAAGCUGCGUGAGUCCUCCAAGGCCUGCGAAAAUGAAAAUGAACAAAACCAAACCCCUGUUCCCAUGUUGAUCACAGCCUCCCCGGGCAAAUAUAGCAAAGACCUAGAUAGAACUAUAAAAAGAGGCUGCGAGAGUCCAAAGAGGAGAGUGGCCGCCCCUGUGCAUGGUGAGGAGAGGUUGGGGAAGUGGGAGCGCCAGCAGGCCUCAUGGAAGAGGGGGUGUGCAGCUGGACCCUGCCAGGUGAGUAGGAAGAAGUUUGUCAGAGAGAGGAGGUAGAAGCAUCUCCAAAAACAGGAAGCAGCAAGUGCAAAGAGACAGAGUCCUUGAGUCCACAUUCGGCAAAUGCUGAGGUUGGUGGCCCUAAAAGGCCCAGAAAAUCAAUCCACAUUCUUCUAAUACUGAUGUGGAUUUUAUUUAAAAUAGAAACACUUCCACCAAAUUAGUUAUGAAUCCCAGAAGAGAUUAUCUUAUUGCUAAAAUAAAUGUUCUUUUCUUAUUUCUUCCAAAAUGAUUUGAUGGUUAUUUUUCUGAAGCAUAUUUCUGAUUUCUCUUGAAAACAAGUGCCUUCAGAAAGUCCAUGUCAGCCAAGGAGAAACAACUCAAAAGUAGCCCAGGAUCACAACUAUUUAGCCCCACCAAGGAUCAAAUUCUUCAUAUUCUCUAAACUACCCCCCCAGCACAUGGAGUGAUUUCAGCUCUUCAAAGCCAGUAAAGAGAUAAGUUCAUUGAAACUCAAGAUGACAGGCACAGAGCUCAUUAUAUCUGGUUUCAUUUGUUCCUUCAGUUAUUCUCUGAGGACAGUGGACAGUGAAUGCAGCCAGACGUCUCUUUCAGAAGAGCACAAAUGGAGGAGGAAAUUUUGUUCAUAACUUUGCUGGGAGAAUGUUUGGCCAAAUGCAGUGGCCUGAGGCCAGAAAAUGCCAUUUUUUAUCUCCAGUGCAGACAGGCAGAGAGGAGGUGUAAUGGAUUUAGCAAGAUAAAGACUUGGACCCACAGAAAAAGAAACACACACACAUCCACAUGCACACGUGAUCCUCACGGAAAAUUAGACUUCACUUCCACCUCUUGAGGUGGGAAUUGUAGUCUUACUGAAAUUACAGAGACGAAGCUACGGUCAUAUUACACAAAGCUGUAUCUAUCAGUGAAGGGUGGCCUCUUGGGAAUGAACUAUUUAAACAACAAUUGCGUGUCCAGAAUUCAUGAUGUGAGCAGAUUUUUCCUGAAAGAGGCAACUUGGCCUGUUGGGAUCAGAACUGUUGCUUAUUUGAUUGUUUUCCUUUUGGUCUCAGACGCUGGGGUCUCAGUGUCAGCUGGAGACUGAAAACUUCAGCCUGCAGGGAGAGAUGGGACAGAGGUGGCCCUGAGGGCCUCUGAGUCCUGGCUCCAGGUGUCCCAUUCGUCGGCCCUUCCUGUGCUUGGCUAUGCAAGCCAAUCCAUUCUCUGCGAUUGCUUGAAAUUUGUAAAAAAGAAAGAGAAUGAGGCUUUGUCAUCAUUGUGAGCUUGAGUAAAUCAUUUCUCACUUCUAGACCUCGGGUUUCUCACUUGUUAAGAGGGUGGGGGUGGGAGACUAAGCAAAUCCUCAGGUUCUUAAAAUUUGUUGAUUUAAUUGAUCUGGAAAAGGGAUUUUUUCCACCAUUUUGGUUUAGGAAUAUUUUAUGGGGCCCAGGAUGCAGAGGUUCCUUGAGUUCCUCAGUGAAGGACCGCAGUGACUUCAUGGUUGGGGUGGCAGUUAACCUGAGCAGCAAAGACUGCUGGGUAGAGCUAGGCGCUGCUUUUCAGAACCAAAGGCUUCACCUAUUUGAAACUUGUAUUAUGGAGGCAUGUUACAGAGGAAAGAGCACAAGACUUAGAAUAAUUGUCCUAGAUUUGAGUCUAGCCACUAAACUAACUCACUGAGAUUGUGGCCAGGGCACACCCCAAUUUGGGGACUCAGUUUACUUGUGGGUGAAGUGAAUAUGGGAGACAGACUCCCAGGAGGCUCCAUGGUCCAUGCUCCCUGGUGUACCCACCCUUGUGGGAUCCCUUCCCUCCAGUGUGGGUGGCACCUGUGACUUGUUUCUAACCAACAGAAUAUGGCGAUGGUGGUGGACGUCAGUGUCAUGAUAUUAAUAUAUUCCAGCGGACUUGAACACCCAUCUUACUAGCCGACUUUUGCUGUCAACUGUCUCCCUUGCUGGCUUUGAUGGAGUAAGCUGCCAUAGAGAGAGGUCCUGGAGAAGAACUGAGGGUGGCCUCUGGCUGAGGGCCCACAAGAAGCUGAGGCCCUCAGGCCAACAACCCUCAAGGAACUGAAUUCUGUCAACAACCACAUGAUUUUGGAAGCAGAACCUUCCCCGGUCAAGCUGCAGAUAAGAUCCCCAGCCCUGACUGACUCCCGGAUUAAAGCACCGUAAGAGAAUCUAAAACAGAGGAAUCAGCUAAACUGUGCCUGGACUCCUGACCCACAGGAACUGUGAAAUAAUAAAUGUGCUGUUUAAAAGUACGAAGUUUGUGGUAAUUUGUUAUGCAGCAGUAGAUAAGUAACACAACAAAGCAGUUAUAACCUUCUGUACCUGACAUCCUGUGAGCAUGACAAUACUCUUCUUAUGAUACCAGCAUUACACAUGUAACAGAAACCACUCCAUUAUGACAUACACAAACAUAUUGUAAGCUGCUGUUACUAUGCUGGGUUGAGAAUUAUUCAUCUUUCUAGAACUCCUAGGGUACUUGUUCUGUAUUUAGAUUCUCAUUUAAUCAGGACUCAUUUCCAGGCUUCUUCCUGCUGAUUGUAAAUACCAUGCUCACACACACAGGUCCACUCACACACACAGGUCCACACUCACACACACAGGCCCACACUCACACACACACAUCCACACUCACACACAGGCCCACACUCACACACACAGGUCCACUCUCACACACAGAUCCACACUCACACACACAGGUCCUGCAUCUCGCUGAAUUUAAUUAAGGAUCAACCUGAAAUAAAAU